ACGAACGCUGGCGGCAUGCCUAACACAUGCAAGUCGAACGAGACCUUCGGGUCUAGUGGCGCACGGGUGCGUAACGCGUGGGAAUCUGCCCUUGGGUUCGGAAUAACAGUUGGAAACGACUGCUAAUACCGGAUGAUGACGUAAGUCCAAAGAUUUAUCGCCCAAGGAUGAGCCCGCGUAGGAUUAGCUAGUUGGUGAGGUAAAGGCUCACCAAGGCGACGAUCCUUAGCUGGUCUGAGAGGAUGAUCAGCCACACUGGGAUUGAGACACGGCCCAGACUCCUACGGGAGGCAGCAGUGGGGAAUAUUGGACAAUGGGCGAAAGCCUGAUCCAGCAAUGCCGCGUGAGUGAUGAAGGCCUUAGGGUUGUAAAGCUCUUUUACCCGGGAUGAUAAUGACAGUACCGGGAGAAUAAGCGCCGGCUAACUCCGUG
rnacentral:rRNA from 1 species